rnacentral:rRNA from 1 species
AAAGGUAGCGUAAUCAUUAGUUUUUUAAUUGAAAGCUUGAAUGAAUGGUUGGACGAGGUAAUAUCUGUCUUUAUUUAAUUUAAAUUAGAAUUUAACUUUUAAGUUAAAAGGCUUAAAUUCGUGUGAUAGACGAGAAGACCCUAUAGAUCUUUAUAAUUGGAAUUAUUAACAAAUUAGGAUUAUGUUAUGGUUAUAGAUUUUAGUUAUUUUAUUGGGGUAAUAUAAAGAUUUGAUAAAUUCUUUGAAUUUUAAACAGUGAUAUUUGGUUAAGUGAUCCAUUAGUAUUGAUUGUAAGAUUAAGUUACCUUAGGGAUAACAGCGUAAUUUUUUUAAAGAGUUCAUAUCGAUAAAAGAGU